CGGCGCUACGCUCUCGUCGGGAACAACGCUUUGGUCGAUUAACACGAACGGUCGUCGAUCAAGCGCUAAGCCCUACCGGCGUCGGGGAAAAGUCUGACGCUGUUAGUAGGCGCGUGGCCUACGGGUAGCCAGUGGACGCGGCUUGUGUCGACCAGGCGAAGACCCACUUCGUCGGCCUGCAGCAGCGGAUCGCCCGGACAGAACACGAAACCGGGCUCGAGAGAGUGGUCUUUCGUGGGACCAGUCGUGUGGCCCGCCAGCACAGUGGCGUUCAGAGGCUCGACGCGGGCUGCCACUACCUGCAGCCGAGUUCGACGCAUCCUAUAGGCGUCCGAUCAAAACGUCGUCUCUCCGCACUUCUUGGACUUCUUCUUUGAUACCAAGCAUCGAUGGCACGCGACAAAGAUGAUGGUGAUCAUGACGCCUUAUUUAUGGCUCUAACCCACUUAUGGGAUCGGCCAAAUACAUCACUUAGAAAUUUUCAAUGUUGAAUGUUUGUGAGAAAAAUAAUGACCGUAAAACAAAA